AUCAAACACUUAACGUUGUUACAUGUUUGUGAUGAAUUAAAACAAUUAACAAAUGGCUGGUGUCACACAUUUUUUUCUACUAUUAUCUUUGUGUUGGAUCUCUUUCUUGGAUUUUAUUAUGUUAUAGGAAAGCACCUGUUAUGAUCAUCUAUUGCACCCAUGCUUCCAAGUGAACUAUUAACUAAUCAGUGUGUCUUUUAAUGACAACUUAUCUGUUUUCAUCUCGUAUAACUUCUAUUUUGAAUAAUAAAGUUCAUAGGUCAAUAUC
rnacentral:sRNA from 1 species